rnacentral:lncRNA from 1 species
UACAAAGAACUACUUUUUUUGGAGCUCUCCAAUUGAAAUGGUUCCCAAAAGGUGAUUGCCAAUUUGCAAUCUUGCUACAGACAAUCACACUAGCAGGGCCAUCAAGCCCAUCCCAUGAGAAUGAUCAAAUCUCCAAUAAGACUCAGCUGUUCCAUGGGGGAGUGAGGGGAAUGAAGCAUUCAGAAAGAUAAAAUCAUCUGGGUUUUCUGAAUGUUUUCCCUGCUGAGGUUGAGGCUGAGAACUUGCAUUGGCUGAAGACUUGCAGCUGGAACCAGAUAGGAAGUAAGCUUCUGGAAGCACUAAAAUGAAUUGUCACUCCCACUCUCGAUACCCACAGCUUCAAAACCACCAGAUGCUGACAGCUGCUGUGGAAAUCUAAGCAAGUGGAGGGAUAUCCAGAUUGAGCUGGCCAAGUUUGGUACAAGAGCUAAGAGUCUGGGAACAAUGGGAGGUCAGCUUUCUGUGUCACUGUGGAUACAAAGGAAGUACUUUUGAGACACAGACAGGAAGUGACUGAGGACUUUAAGGGCAGCUUGGGCUAUCCAGGAAAGUUCUUCAUUCUUGUUUUUUUCUGCUGAGGCUCUAGAGGGACACCUGUCAGACUGACCAAGGCCGAAGAUGGCUCCCUACCAGAGAGAUUCAACUGAGGGCUUGCGAUAGGUCUUGUGACAUUGCUAUUGAUCUUGAGACAUUCAUCUGAAGCAUGAUUGUCACUGGCUUCAAACUUUCCUCAUCAUAAGAGAGGGACUGGGUCUACUUCAAAUGUUUCGCACUAAUGAAGUUAACAUUCCCUUUCAUGGUGAGCUCUGCCCUCAUCAUGAGACCAUGCCCAGGCUAGUCUGCUGGAAGGAAGUCAGAGGCACACGGAAGAGAGCCACAUUCAGCCAAGGCCAUUCUAGACCAGUUGUUCCCUGUCACUUCACUAAUUGGCCACAGCACAAGGUACACGGAUGGAGCUGGAAGCCAUUAUCCUCAGCAAACUAA